rnacentral:lncRNA from 1 species
AAUAGAACUUAUAUAUAUAGUAGAGUUACUAUACUAGUAUAGAGCCAUUCGUACUCAUAAGUUAUUUUCUGUUGGAAUUUUUGAAUCGACGAUCUACACCGCUAAACAUGAUCUAUAGUAUUUGAAACUUUUAGAAAAUAAAUUUCGUAAUUUUUCGAAAUCAUUAUAAAGUCUAUAUAUCAAGCCAGUAUAAAAUGAAUAGUCAAAAUCGAACGACAUCCUAAAAUGGAUGAUCGGAUCCUUCAAUUUAAGAUCAGAGUUAUUGAUUUUUAUUUAGAUAGUGAAUAGAAUUUUCUAUCAAAAGUUUAACUUAUUCCGACUCUUUUACACCUAGUAAACUAACAAAUAUCUCAUACCGGCCGUUAAAAAUUGUCAAUUUUUUAGCUUUUGAUCGUAAGGUAAAUGAUAUCAAAAAAUUAUAAAAUUUGAUUUCUAUAGAAGUUUUAAAUGUUCUAAAUGAUGUUUAACGGUAUAGAUCGUCGAUUCGGAAGCUCUGUCAUAAAAAAUAACUUAUGAGUACGAAGGCGAUCGUACUCAUAAAAAUAUAGUAACUGGACUCUCUCUCUCUCUC